UUCAAACACUAACAACAUUCGUGGUGGACAAAAAGAGCGGUGGUGCCCGGAUAAGUGAGGUACAUGAUCUCAAUGGCUUGAGGGGGCAAAUAACAAUCGAAAACUUAGAAAGGCAGCGGAGUAAUACGAAAGAGGUUGAAUAUGUGAAGUACUGGAUGGCAUGCCAUGUCUUCAAGGAUUAUGUCUAUUGUGGUGGUCCGAAAGCCGAAAUGAUUAUACAGAAGAAGAUAUGCAUGACAAAGAUGGGAUAAUUUUAGAAGCUUUAGAGCCUCCUCAAACAAUCAAAGCAUUGCGUAUAAAUAGAUUUUGCGGCAAAUGGCUACCAGAUUGGAUACGGAAUCUCACCUCACUGCAAAUGCUAGAUGUUCGUGGUUGCUCUGCUUUGGCAUUACUUCAAGAUUCAAUAAAAAGUCUGUCAUCAUUGCAAGAACUUACACUCGAAGUUUGCUCUGCUUUGGUAUCACUUCCAGGUUCAAUUGGUAGUCUAUCUUCAUUGCGAGAACUUACACUCAAAGGUUGCUCUGCUUUGGCAUCACUCCCUGAUUCAAUAGGGAGUCUAUCAUCAUUGCAGAAACUUGCACUUAUAGAUUGCGAUGCUUUGGUAUCACUUCCAAAUUCAAUAGGGAGUUUGACAUCAUUACACGAACUGACUCUCGGUGGCUGCUAUGCUUUGACAGAAUGAUAUGGACGCCAAUUAGAGAGGAUGAAUUGGCCGGGAAUUGCUUACAACCCAAUGGUUUUUAUUUAAGAUGAUUAAAGAAUUGGUUCCUCUAUCUUCCAUUAGAAGUUUAUCAAGGUAUUUUAUCUACAACUUUUUUGUUCUCUUCGUGGGUAGUAGUUCAACGUAAUUUUCUUGAAUUGCAUUUACUUUUUUCCUUGUCCUGAUGUCUCUAUCUGUUUUUUUGGUGUGAUGUUUCUAUGUUACGUCUUCAAGAGAAGAUGCUGCCAGUUCUGCUUGUUCUUGUUGGAGGCGACUUUCUAAUCAUGUGUAAUUUGUUCAUAAGGACCAGAUUAUAUUUUCACUAUCAAAUUGUGGAAGUAAAAUGGAUUGUUCUGGUGCAUUAGGAUCUACUUCAAAGCUGUGGUUUGAAUUGGGGGUUUUUUCUUUUUUUUUUCGUUUUUUUUUUCUUUCUUUAGAAACUGUUUCACUUGUAAUCAAUUCUCGUAUUGUUUUCUUGUAUAUUAGUUCAAACCAGUAAGGAAAGUUUUCAAAUACUUGGGCUAGGCAUCUGCAAGAGAACAAUUGCAUUUGAUCUUACAUUAAUUGAUUAUCUCGUGCUGUUGAUGAAAAAUGUUUCUCCUUAGGAAUGACAAAGACGAGCAUAAAUUCAAGACGUGUUAAAGGCAAAGCGAUGUAGAAGGAAGCAGAAACAAAAAAUUACAAUUAUGAAGAUUCACUUGAAUUUUCUAACUUCAAGAAGCUACAUCAAAUGAAUUGAAAUCAAUGUGUUGACUAUGGAAGAUUGCCUAGUAGAGAAUCAGUAGAGAAUCUCACAUCAUUACAAUAUAUGGAUUUUGAAGUUUGUGUAAUUGGACAUCAGAGAUAGGAAAUGUUGGUGAAGGGACGAUGAUUGGAGGUCGCCAUGGCCUAUGGUUCACUUCUUUAUAAGUUCAUAUUCAACUCAUACAGAAUUGGUGUCCUUCAGUUGAAACAAAAAUGAUGCGCUAGGCACAUGGUUUGGGAUUAUCUGUCCGAAAAUAACGUUCUCUCAAAGUCUCCUACUUUUGUGACCACUAAUUGCUUCACUUCUUUACCUCUCGCAAGUGCAUUAAUUACUUGGAGAAUGUUGUUGCUGCUUGCUGGCGGCCACCUUCCACUUUCUCUGUAUUUUGCUAAUAAACUCCCAUUUGACAUUCAGUUAUUUUAGUCAAUUUGGUGGUUCUUGAGUAUUUGAUCUUUAAAGUCAUUGUCAGAGUUUUUAAUAGUCAUUAUAGUCCCUUUUUUAUCCUUUAGGAGGAGUCGAGCUGUAUAAUUCUUAAAAUGAUGAAUGCUCAUUCAUGAGAUGGAUUAACCUCAGCAUUAUAUUA